ACCGCUGUCUCUCCGGCGGAAGCCAAAUUCUUAUGGUGGUUUCUCAUUUUCUGUGCACUUUUUAGCUGAUAUUCUGCUUAGGAAUUUUUUUCUUCUGGUAGAUUUUAUAAGGUUUUUUACUUUUAUUUUAAAUUGAAAAUUAUAUUUUCCAAAAUGUCUUCUUCUCUCUUAGUAAUAUUAUAUACCAAUUACGUGUAUUAUGAGUAUGAUAGUGUGGUUUCUGUGAUCAUCAAUGGCGGAGAAGAAGAAAGAGGUAUGGUGAUUAUUGCCAAAAAUGUAUGUGAUUGUGGGUGAGAGGGUGAAAGAGAGGACAGCAGAGGAGUACGAACGAG
rnacentral:lncRNA from 1 species